rnacentral:lncRNA from 1 species
AGAACUAGACAGAGAUGGUGAUUACACAACACUGAUACACUAAGUGCCACCAACUGUUCCCUUUACAACAGUUAGCUCUGUGGUAAUGUCUUUUAAAAUAAGACAAAAACCAGGGCCCCUGGGUGGCUCAGGGAUUGAGCAUCUGCCUUUGGCUCAGGGUGUGACCCCAGGGUCCUGGGAUCGAGUCCCGCAUCGGGCUCCCUGCAUGGAGCCUGCUUCUCCCUCUGCCUGUGUCUCUACCUCUCUCUAUGUGUCUCUCAUGGAUAAAUAAAAUCUUAAAAAUAAUAUAAAUAAAACAAAAACCAAUAAAAGCCUUUUAAGUGUCCCAAGACCUGGACCUCCCUGUCUCGAGGCCAGGAGACUUCACACUGCUAAGACCUACUGGGACUGCGGGGGAAGCCAAGCAGAUAAAGCACUCAUCCCUUUUGUGUUAAGUGCAUAGGGCUAGAUUCUCUUAAGGCCAAUACAUAAAGCGAUGCUUAGCCAGUGGGAUAGAAAGUAUCCAGAGGCAGCAUAUGACCAUACAAGAACUCUCUUAACUGAUGAUCUAGGAAAGACAGUUACAGAUAUGCAGCUACCAAUUAGUCACAGAAAAUCUGAGUAAAUAAAGGCAGCCAUGGUUACACAAUACAUAAAACUUUUGCCAUCUAGGUGGCUUUCUGCCAAGGCUGUCUUCCCCGCCUUUACCUGGGAUCAGCUCAAUACCUAGCAUAGAUGGGGUGUGUGGGCACACUGGGACUCCACUGGGACUGACCUGGCUGGGUGGGUAGCAGGCUGCAGGAAAGCAGCACCUUGUCCUGAUGACAUGGGGACUCCCAACAAAGAUCUUUGUAUAAAACCAGAACCCUUUCAGAGCCAGAACAUUUUAGAACAAAACCUGUGAAACCCUACCUGGUUUUUUGAAAAUACCAGUGAAAUGGAUAAACCUCUAGCUACAACAGUCAAGGAUAAAGAAGAGAAAACGCAGAUUAUGAAUAUCAAGAAUGAAAGCAGAGUCAUCACUACAGAUCCUACAGACUGUGAAAGGGAAAUAAUAUUAUCAACUGUAUUCUAAUGAAUUUGGCAUCAUAGAGGAAAUGAAAACAAUUCUAUGGAACAUAUAAAUUACUAAAACUGACUCACAUAGAAAGAGAAAACCCAAGUAGCCCCAUAACAACGAAAGAAAUUGAAUUCAUGAUUUAAAACCUCACAAAGAAAAUUUCAGGCUAAAAAGACUUCACUGGUGUGUUCUAGCCAACAUUUAAUGGAGAAAUAUUAUCCUAAACAAACAUUCAUAUGCUGCUGGUCAGAAUAUAAAAAAGUACAACUGCUCUGGAUAAGUUUGGCAAUUCUGAAAACACUAAACACAUUUACAACCCAGCCAAGGAUCUACCCAAAAGAAAUGAGAAAACAGACCUGUGAGCAAUGCUUUUAGCAGAUUCAUUCAGACUGGCCAAAAAUGAGGAAAUAGCCCAGGGGCCCGGCAGCAGUAGGAAUCCAUGGUGUUGUAUCCACACAACAAAUAAUCCUUGGCAAUAGAUGUUAAUGAUACACAUAACAACACACCUGAACCUCAAAAACAUGCUAAGCUAAUGAAUCCAGACACAAAAGAAUAUACACCAAAUGAUGCCAUUUAUACGGAACUCUAAAGAGCAAAAGAAGUCUCAACUGCAGUGACAGAAAAUAGGUCAGUGGUUACAUUACCUGGGGCCGUGUUGGGGAGGGGUUGACUGGGACGUAGAACAAGGGAAUACUUGGAGGGCCGGAAACACUCUAUAUCUCAAUUGCAUGGUAGGUACCCUGGUGUACACACUUGUCAAAAAACCAUCAAGAUAUACACUUAAAGUAGCUGCAUUCUAUUUUAUAUAAAUUGCAACGGACUCUCCAAAUAAAGCUCUGUUUUGUAGGUUUUUUUU